rnacentral:lncRNA from 1 species
AAAACUCCUUUGAAAGAUGGAUUAAUAAACACAUUUGUUGCAUCAAUUUCUGGUUAGUGCUGUUUAAUCUUUAUGAUUCCAGUGUCAAAUUCUCCCCACAACUCUGAUAUAGAAUCAAUUCAUACAUUCAAGUUAAUGGUAGGUAGAAUGCAUAAAAAAUUUGAAACAUGAAGUUGUAAAUGAAAAUUAGGAGUAAAUUUAAAUUUAAAUAUACAUACAUUUUGUAUUUAAAACUUUCAGUACAGUCGUAUACUACGUAAUGACAUUUUGGUCACUGACAGACUGCAUAUAUAAUGUUCCUGAAAGUUUAUAAUUCUGUAUGUUUUUGGUACCUUGUCUCAGUUCAGAUUUGUUUAGAUACAUAAAUACUUGUGUUUUAGUUGCCUGUUGUGUUCAGUACAGUAACAUGCUGCACAGGUUUAUAACCUGGGAGCAAUAGGCUGUACCAUGUAACCUAGGUGUGUAGGAGGCCAUAACGUCUAGGUUUGUGUAAGUGAUGUCUGUGAUGUUCACACAAUGACAGAAUUGCCUAACAGUGCAUUUCUCAGAACAUAUCCCCAUCAUUAAGUGAUGCCUGAUCUGUAUAUUCAAUAUAAUAUAAAUGUAAAUUAGAGCAUUACGUAUGUAUGCUGUAGUGUAGUAGGCAACAGUUGGGUAGCGUCUGGAUCACAGAAAUGUGUCACUUUCUGAGAAUGCCCUGGUACAUGUACAUAGCAGGGGCCUCACUGGCCAUUUUUCUGCCCUGUCAUCUCUUGGCCCUUUUUUAUGGAGCUCUACAAAUCACUGCAGCCUGGAACUGGUUCUUGCCCAUCCUGAGUUUUGGAUGUUCAGUUUCUCCUGAAGUCUACAGUAUUUGUUUUCCAGUGUAUCCCCCUUUUUUGCUUAAACUAGUCAGAAUUGCUUUUUUUGGGCAAAUACUAUUUAAACCUUUUAAAAAGGGGGUCUGGGUAUGGUGGCUCAUGCCUAUAAUCCUAGCAUUUUGGGAGGCUGAGGUGGGCAGAUCACUUGAGGCCAGGAGUUUGAGACCAGCCUGGGCAACAUGGCAAGACCCUGUCUCUACACAACGUACAAAAACUUAGCUGAGUGUGGUGGUGUGCACCUGUUGUCCCAGCUACUUGGAGGGCUGAGGUGGGAGAAUCACUUGAGCCCAGGAGGUCAAGUCUGCCGUGAGCCGUGACCACACAACUGCAUUCCAACCUGGGCAACAGAGUGAGACUCUGUCUCAAAAAAAAAAAAAAAAAAAAAA